UACAGAGGGUGCGAGCCUUAAUCGGACUUACUGGUUGUAAAGCGUGCGUAGGCGCCUUUUUACUUCGGAUGUGAAAUCACCGAGCUUAACUUGGGAAUUGCAUUCGCUACUGGGAAGCUAGAGUAUGGGAGAGGAUGGUAGAAUUCCAGGUGUAGCGGUGAAAUGCGUAGAGAUCUGGAGGAAUACCGAUGGCGAAGGCAGCCAUCUGGCCUAAUACUGACGCUGAGGUACGAAAGCAUGGGGAGCAAACAGG
rnacentral:misc_RNA from 1 species